UAAAAACACAAACUAAAGUGAUUACUAACUAAUCUAACACUUUGAAAUAAAUGGGAGAUUGGUUCUUGACAAAUUUGAAAACAAAACAAACUUUGUAAAACAAAACAGAUUGUAAAUGAAUUUGAAUGAAACUUAUGGAUGGAAGACUAGCUAGGAGGUUCUUCUCCACACAUGUCACACUUGCAUACAAAACGAUUUCCAGUUGCUUUUCGAUAAACUAUGAAUACUCAACGUCCCAAAUUAACCGUGAAUUGCACUAAUUAACCCUCAGUUUUUCCACAAGUUAUUGGGUUGGAUGAUUGCAUACGACAACCCAAAACAUUCCCUACAAGUUCCCUACAUGAAUUGCAUAAUAGAGAUACAAGUAAGAAUCAUUAAGUUCUAUGAAAAACAUAAGCAUUGACGAGGCACUCGUUACUAUGAUUUGCAUGAAACUUAUGCCAAGAAUUUACUUAACGUGACUGUGACUAGCAACCUUCACUACUUGUGAAUAUAAGUUCAUAAUGAUUAGGUGAAACUCCCUUAUACUCUAGCGUCAAAUUCAUGCAUGAAAAUUAAGCGUGCACUCUCAACCAACAUACACAAAUCAGUU
rnacentral:lncRNA from 1 species